rnacentral:lncRNA from 1 species
GGGGGAGGGGGCUGGGACUCAGUUAUCUGGGGCUUGCCAGGUGGUGCUGAUGGUCUCUGAUGAAGCACCUGGAGCGUGAGGCUGGGCAUAGUCCCCAGAGGUAAUAAAUAAGUGGUGAUACAAGCUCACGUAGAACUUGGACCUGAGGUUGGUGAGAGCUGUUCUUAUGGGUUUUGUGAAGGCUCAACAGGGAUAGGAGUGCUCCCCUAAAAUCUAGUGGCUUAGGGCAGAUUUUGGACUGUUUUUAGGCUGUGCUCUUCCCUGGGAGGGACCUUUUUCAGUCAGAGUGCUGCAGGCUCCCUUUGUUACACUGUAGUUGAGUUGAAGUAACGGAGUUGCUGCAUGUCUAAGGAAUGAAUCUUGGUUCAAACAGUGUCUGUAGCAGAACUGGGACCAGAGUUCUUUAUCUUUACUCUUCAGACUCUACAGACUGCUAUGUCCACUCGACUUUGUUUGGGAAAGCUCAAAGUGACCUGCCCUGAUACUUUCCUUGUGCCAAAGAAAAGAGUAUGUGUAAAAUGAUUUCUGCAGUUUCAAGCAGGAGCUAACGCUUGUGCAAGAAAUGUAUCAUUGGACUUCUUUUUUCCUUGAGUGCCUGCUUGACGAAUUUCUUCUAAGAACAUUGAUUUUAUAAGAUGUGGC